rnacentral:lncRNA from 1 species
CUCCACAGGUCCUUUUGUCCAGGAGAAAGCAGGAAUCAGUGGAGAUGCUUCACAGCAGUAUCCUGGAAGGACUGAGCUGAGACAGGGAAUGCUGGGGUCAGUGGGGACUGGAGACAAGGUGAUUCCCAAGGUGAUUCCCAGCACAACUUGGCAUUGGUUUUUUCUACCCUGCUGAGAACUUUUACAUCCCUUAUAACUGAAUACCCCUUGUAAAUGUAUACCCCUUUUAAGUGUAUAUCACUAGUAAAUGUAUAUCACUUG